GACAGAGGGUGCAAGCGUUGUUCGGAAUUAUUGGGCGUAAAGGGCGCGAUAGAGCGGCUGAGCAAGUCGAACGUGAAAUCCCUGGGCUUAACCCAGGAAGUGCAUUUGAUACUGCUCAACUUGAGUCCCGGAGAGGGUGGUGGAAUUCCCAGUGUAGAGGUGAAAUUCGUAGAUAUUGGGAGGAACACCGGUGGCGAAGGCGACCACCUGGACGGAGACUGACGCUGAGGCGCGAAAGCGUGGGGAGCGAUCCGG
rnacentral:rRNA from 1 species